AAGUACACAAAACUGUGAGGAACACAGUUGUAGAUUUUCAGGUUCAAAAUGCAGUUUUUGCCCAGUCUGCAAGACAAUUCAAGGCAGCCCUGGUGGACCUGCUUUUCUCCAGAAAAAGGAAGGAAGAUGAACUAGAAUUCACAAAAUUCUUUGACUUGGGACAGAGUCUCACUAUGAUCAGGCUCGCUGAGUGAAGAAUAAAAGCAUUAGCAUCAGCUUGGUAAGUAGCA
ensembl:lncRNA